rnacentral:pre_miRNA from 1 species
AAAGUACUUCCUCUGUCCAAAAAUAUUUGUCAUCAAAAUGAAUAAAAAGAGAUGUAUUUAGAACUAAAAUACGUCUAGAUACAUCCUCUUUUAUCCAUUUUGAUGAGAAGUAUUUUCGGACAGAGGGAGUAUGAU